GGCAACGCAUCGGGCGAAGCAUCGGGCGACGCAUUGGGCGGAGCAUCGGGCGGAGCAUCGGGCGGAGCAUUGGGCGACGCAUUGGGCGGAGCAUCGGGCGACGCAUUGGGCGGAGCAUCGGGCGACGCAUUGGGCGGAGCAUCGGGCGACGCAUCAGGCGAAACAUUGGGCGACGCAUUGGCCGAUGCAUUGGCCGAUGCAUCGGGCGGAGGGCAUCAGUCGGGUUGGAGACGGAGUGGCCCGGUCCCCCUAACAACCGGCCGGCCCGGGCAGGGCGGCGACAUGGAGGAGCCGCAGUAGUUCAGGUCGUUGUUUCAGGGGAGCUUUGAGCUUCGUCGUGUCCUGUUUCCGUUGUGUUUUUAAACUAAGUGGACGUAGCGGCUCGUUCACGUUAUCGUCUCUCUUCUCUCAAACGUUCCCACAGCGAUGCUGAAGAGAAGAAAGAACACUAAGGGUUCACGUGUUCCCUUCGCCGGUCGGUAAGCCCCGCCCCCGACCAUGGACGCAGACAAGACGAAGCGCCAACGUUCAUUUCUGUCAAAUGAACAUCGCACCACCAAAAAUGAUCAUUGUCCUACAUUGUGCGAUAUGUCAUAUAUUGCAUAUGGCGACCUACUGAAGAGGACUCAGCAAGACAGAAAAGUGAAGGGACAUAUAGACAGACAAGGCCAGGAGACAGACAGGUACAGACUCACCUGAGAGCACAGGCCCUGACACUGGGAGAGAGAUACAUUUGGCGUUGUCCUCCACUGGUCCAGUCAUGUGACUCCUUAGCUCCGUCAGAUUGGCUGAAGAGCUUCAGGACUCUGUUGACGGCACCCCACGAACACCUCACCUGUCCUCCGAUGGACAGUCAGGUGUGUGAGGGGAGGAGUCAAAGGCCCGGUACACCACCCUGCCCGACGCCACGGAGGGGGAGGGAGAUGCAGCCGGGGCAGAGAGGAGGGGGGAGGAGAGGAGCAUAGGGGAAAGGAGGAGGAAGAGGUGGAGCGGAGAGGCACAAGGAAGCAUGGUGGAAAGAGAGGAGGAGAGGAGGGAGGAGAAGGUUGGCUGCAGGUCUGACGAAGAGUCAACUUCAAAGGAGCAUCAUGACUGUGGAGAGAGAAACAUUGAUUUAACUACACGCAGUCUACCUCAUCCUUAUCAUCACAUGUCAUUUAUCUGACGCUUUUAUCCAAAGCGACUUACAAUAAGAACAUUUCAACCAUAAGGACACAAACUCAGAAGAACAAGAAACAAGAAAGUGUGAUUUCAUCAAAUAAGCCAGUUUACAACUCGCUGUAGAUAAGAACCAUUAUGAGUCCAAUGUCAGUGCUACAGUUAGUUAGUGUGUUAGUGGAGGUAGAGUCUGAAGAGGUGUGUCUUUAGUCUGAAGAUGUGAAGGCUCUCUGUGGUCCUGAUGUCUUCAGAGACCUCCUUCCACCAUUUAGGAGCAGGACAGCAAAGAGUGGAGAUCUAGUGGAGUGUUUUGCUCUCAGUGAGGAGAAACAAGCAGUUUAUCACAUGCAGAGCGGAGAGUGCGGUCGGGGUGUCGGGUUGGACCAGGUCCUGGAUGUAAGCUGGACCCCAUCCAUUCACAGCGUGAUACGUGAGCACCAGUGUUCUGAACUGUGAUUAGUUGGUGUCAUCGGCAUCGCUGUGGUAGGAGAAGCCAUGCGAGCGAAUGACAGCGCAGAGAGAGUUGGUGUAGAGCGAGAAGAGGAGGAGACCCAGGACGGAACCCUGAGGAACUCCAGUAGUAAGAGGACAAGGUUCCGACACAGAUCCUCUCCAGGUUACCCGGUAGGUGCGGCCGUCGAGGUAGGACGAGAGAAGCGAGAGAGCAGAGCCUGAGACACCAAGUUCCUGAAGGGAGGAGACGAGGAUCUGCUGGUUGACUGUGUCAAAUGCAGCAGAGACGUCCAGAAGGACGAGGACAGAGGAGAGAGAGGAGCUCUAGCACCUCAGGUCUACCGCUGGUUUAGAGCAUCUUAUUAGUUACAAUUAGCUCUCACACAGCGUGUCGAGUGUGUUCCAGGCCAGUUGUUGAUCUGCUUCAGUCCGUCUCAUCUCUGAAUUCUCACAAAGCUCCAGUAACACGGAGCUCGACGGACACACGCAUUACUCCCAGAUGGUGUUAGUGAUGAUCAAUAAUGUUAUUAUCAAACAACAAUAUUCUUAAUUUUAAAUGUGCUCAAGACUUGAAGAAGUAAAAACAUCUGAAUGAUAAAAUGUGUUUACAACUUAAGACAUGUUUGACUUCUCUCUGCUGCUCCUUGAUGGAGCUCUGACACGCUGCUAAAGACACACACACACACACACACACACACACACACACACACACACACUCUCCCUCUCUGGACUCCCUUCAGCUCAGCAGACUAAUUAACUAAUGGGCUGAUCUUUCACUGCCUCUUUGUGUUCACCCGUGCGUGUCUGUGUGUGUGUGUCUGUGUGUGUGUGUGUGUGUGUGUGUGUGUUUGCAGACAGGCAGCUGGGCAGACAGACUGGACCACGAUGUCAUCAGACCAUCCAUCACCUUACUGAGUGUGUGUGUGUGCGCUAACGUGAAGCUAACCGCUAACCCGAGCUCAUGCUGCGUCGGUAGAUGGAUGGAUACACACUUUAUUAAUCCCUGAUAGCAGCAACACAGUAAAUAAAAUGAGAAGAGCAGAACAUAUUACAUUAAAUUAGUGAAGGUGAGACAGGAGUGUGUACAGUUAAAUGAGAAAAUGAAAGACAGUAGUGCAGUGUGAUGAUAUUUGUUGUUCAAAUAUACAAGGAUUCAUCCAGAGGUACUACGCUGUGUUCUGUUGGCAGGAAUGUUUUCCUGUAUCCGUCCGUGUGACGGCGGAGCUGCAUCAGCCUGUUGGAGAAGAUGCUCCGUGUCGCAGCAGUAGGUGGUGAAGAGGCUGGUCCCUGUUUUCAGUGUCCUCCUCCCCACCACCUGUUCAGGAUGCUCCUGUUGGCAGCCAAUGAAGCAGUGUUCAUUUUGGCAGCUAUUUUUGAUUUAGUCUUUAUACGAAAAAUGCAUAUUGUAUUACAUUUGGUCAUUUUAAUCCUUCUUAGUUUUAGUCCCAUUUAACAUCCACAUUAAACUCAUUUUCUUCCCUUCUCAGGCCCAGAGACCCCUGUGGUGUGUCUACAGCUGCAUAAUAGUCCAGCUUGCAGUACUUGGUUGUCCAUCAGAUGUCCCUCCUAGGACAGGCCUAUAGAUGUCCCUCCUAGGACAGGCCUAUAGAUGUCCCUCCUAGGACAGGCCUAUAGAUGUCCCUCCUAGGACAGGCCUAUAGAUGUCACUCCUAGGACAGGCCUAUAGAUGUCCCUCCUAGGACAGGCCUAUAGAUGUCCCUC
ensembl:lncRNA